AUACGGAGGGUGCAAGCGUUAAUCGGAUUUACUGGGCGUAAAGCGUACGUAGGCGGUUUGAUAAGUCAGAUGUGAAAGCCCCGGGCUCAACCUGGGAACUGCAUUUGAAACUGUCAGACUAGAGUUUGGUAGAGGGUAGUAGAAUUCCUGGUGUAGCGGUGAAAUGCGUAGAUAUCAGGAGGAAUACCAGUGGCGAAGGCGGCUACCUGGACCAAAACUGACGCUGAGGUACGAAAGCGUGGGGAGCAAACAGGAUUAGAAACCCCUGUAGUCC
rnacentral:rRNA from 1 species